GCUUGGAUAAGGUAUUCUUAUUU
rnacentral:miRNA from 1 species